AUAGACAGAGUCAUCAUAUGUUUACAAAACAGUACAAAUUAAAGUUCCUCAUCUCGUAUUUAGGGCAGAGAAUCCACAAUCCUCAUUGUCGUAUCAACCAGCAUACGCGACAGACGUGUAUACACACUGUUAAUAAUAAUAAACAUUAUUAUUGUGACGUGAAGAUAAACAAAAACAAAUGAGUGUGUUGUGGUGAAACUUCAAUGAUCAUUUGGAUGUAGUUGCUAUAUACACAAUGGCUAAAACAACGGUAUUUAUUCUGAUGCUGUGUGCGACCAUAUUAGUAAAUGAAGCCUCUAGUUACGUACUACCAACACAAAGUAAAACAAUUGAAAACCAACUUACAGCGGGCGUCGAGAAAAACUCGACGAAAAAUGAAAUGUCGGACGAUUAUAGAAAAUACAGCUAUAUCAUAACCACAUAUUUAUAGUAUUAGUUAAUUAGUAGUAUGAAUAAGUAUUGACUAUAAAAAUAAUGUGAGAAACAAUUGUAUAUUUAUAUUUCCAAAUGAUAUAUUUUCUGACAAUGUUUUGGAGAUAAGAACGUAGUACAAUUCAUUGAAUUUUGAUGGUAUGGUGAAAAAUGUAUGGUUAGGUAUUUUAUAAUUAAAAAAUAAUGUCAUAAAAGUAAUGAUAUUUCGUUAUAAACUGUCUAGCGAUACCUUACUUCGCUCGAAUUUACUCAGCUGCGUUAGAAAUGUUCUGUUUGCCAUUCUUAGAGCCAAACACUUAUUAUAAUACAUAUGUAUAAAAUAAACUAAUGUUCCUUCAUGUAGCAUUUAUAUUUGUAUGUAAAUAUCCUGACUGUGAGUAUUAAAAAUAGUGAUGAGAAAAUUAUACAUUUAAAUAUGACAGCAACAGAGAAUUUAUUUUACCUACUGUUUAUAAAGACCCAAUAAUAAUUAUUUCUCAAGACCAAGAAUUGAACUCGGGGCAUCAAGUUUAUUUUUUAGUUAUAAUUUAUUUAAAAUAUUAACCUUUGCACACACUCGUAGGUAGAUACAGUUAUUUUAUAUACAGCGAUAAUUUUCACAUUAAUUACCAAAAUGUAGACUGUAGGUACUUUAUUUUUUUGUCAGUAUGUUCAAUAGUUUAUCAAGUGAUGAUUUAAUCCAGAAAUGAUUAUGCCCCUAAUGUAGGUAAGUAUUAUUAUUUAGUAUCAUUGUACACUCAGCAUCAAAAGUAGCUGAACAAAUAUAGAUUUUCAAAAACUGCUAAACACCGUGUCGUGUCGUCGCCAUAAGCUUGUGGCACAUUAUAGCAGCACGGCAACAGCACGGCAGCAGCACGGCGUCGCCUCGAAUUAAGACUACGGCUAGCUGCCAGCGCGCCAACCACGCGCUGUCCGCUCGCCGUCGGCGCGCCGUCCGCUCGCCGUCGGCACGCCGGCCGCGCGCCGGCCGCGAGGUGUAAGCUUGCUGUCACCGCAAACUCAAUAUUAUUUUAAGACGAUUAUGAUUGAUGUUAUGAUUGAACACGACGUAAUAACGUUGUUUCGCUGCCGGCUCGGAGUCGGCGCGCAAUUAGCACGCCGUCGGCGCGCUGUACGCAUGAGGACCGCUCGCUUGCAGCACGCGGGCGGCGAGUCGAGUUGUGUGGAAGCGGCAAGCACGCUGACUGCUCGCCGUUGGCUUUUUCAUAUUGACAUUACGAAAUAUAUUAUAAUAUACACGAUUUAAUGCUCUAAAUUGAAUGACAACUUAAAUGCUGGUGUGGAGCCGUGCUGUUGCCGUGCUGCUGUAAUGUGCCACGUCCUUAAGUCUACUUUUUUGAAGAAAUGAGAACCCUUUACUUUCUUUGGCACUUUUUAAAAAUUGUAAUUUUUUGAGCUGGGUACUUGACGAUGACCGGACAGUACCACUUUUACAAAAAUAACAAAAGCUACGUAAAAAUAUACGCAUUACUUAACUUAUAUCAUUGGCUAUAUUGCAGCUAACGAGGGAAAAUCGCAAAUGGCUUUCCGUCUGGUCUGCUCUACCAUUUUUUUUAUUUGUUGUCACUCCCAGACAGCCAGCCCCGGAUCUUCAAUUUUUUUUAGGCGGGGCACAAACUGAAAAAUGCCGCCCCGCGUACCUGGCCAAAGUCACUUUUUUGGUAGGUAAAUGACUUUAAAAAAAAGUGUCCAAAUCAUUGUAGGCUCAAACUGUUGGCCAGGUUUAAGUUAUGAAAGUCGAGACAGAAUAAUGCAAAUUGUAAAAAUUUGCGCGAGCGAAAGUAGCGCGCAAAUUUUUUAAUUUUGGGACGCAAAAAGUUAAUAAAUUUAAAAAAGCGCUGGAAACUAACAAGAAGUCGGAAGCGCAAACUUUGUUGUUUUUGAGGACUCCAUAAAUAAUAUUUUUUUCUACAUUUGACUUAUAAAAGGUAAUACAGCGUGGAUUUGAGCCAUGAAGUUAUGAAAGCAACGUAUGUAUAAUAUUGCGCGAGCGAAGCGAGCGCGAAAUUUUUUGAGCCUAAAACACAAUAAUAAGUAAAUUGUAAAGCCACGAACUUUUUUAAAUUAUUUGUUUGAAGACUCGCGAAUUAAACAGGGAAUUAUCUAUACUAAUAUUAUAAAGCUGAAGAGUUUGUUUGUUUGUAUGUUUGUUUGUUUGUUUGAACGCGCUAAUCUCAGGAACUACUGGUCCGAUUUGAAAAUUUCUUUCAGUAUUAGAUAGCCCAUUUAUCGAGGAAGGAAGGAAGCUUUUUAUCCGGUACGGGAAGUAGUUCCCACGGGAUGCGGGUGAAACCGCUGGCAGAAGCUUGUGUACAAAUAAAAAUAAACCGUGAUAAGAGCGAGUGCCAUUUGCGUUCGUUGAUUCGGUACGUCAAUAAAAAUAAUAAACAAUCAGAAAAAUAGCACAUACAUUGUCAUUUAGCCGCGAGCAUAGCGAGCGAGAAUUUUUUCACUUAUUUGGAGGAUGUUAAAAGUGAAAAAUAAUCAAAAUGAUCAAUUAAACAAAGCGAAGGCGACUUUUUUAGAAACUUUGCUUGUCAGUAUCAUGAUACAAUGGAACUUCCUUAUCAAACGGGUGUAAUUUUUUCGAAAUUUCCUGGUGGUGGGGCGCCCCUGAGACAUACACACGGUUAAGACGGCCCUGUAGGUAACUAUUGUGGUAAUCUGUGAUGUGUGAUGUAGGAUUUAAAAUCAGGCAGCCGCCUGAUUUUGCCGCCCCUUUGAAUUUGCCGCCCGGGGCAUGGGCCCCGGCUUGCCCCCCCCUAGAUCCGGGGCUGCAGACAGCGUAUUUAAGUAUGUAACAUACAUACCUAUAUGUACUUAUUUUCAGAUAUGUAAUGUUUUACAUCGUAAAUAAUUAUCAAAUACGUGACUCACUUUAACUACUUUAUAAAACAAUGACAAUGUAUAAAGUACUUAUUUUUAUUUGACACGUGUAGUUAGCAUAAAACUAGCGUAAUAGGAAGUGUUUUAAUAUCAUUCAACCUAUGAACUAAGCUGAUUCUUUUCUUAUCGUCUCUGACCCACCAAGGUUUGGGUGUCAGCUAAUCGUCAGCAGUGAAUCUUAUGUAAGAAAAGUGUUUUUUUAGUAAAUUCAAAUUAACAGUUUUUACCAUAUACAAAGAAAGAAAGUAUACAGAGUGUAACAAAAAAACCAUACAGCUGUAACGGGAAUAUAGGUCCCAAGUUUAGGCUAACAAAAACAAAUAAGUCGUUCUUAGGGAAUUGUGUACGUUUCUAUAACAAGCUACCUAAAUGUAUCCUUGAUCUCACGGAUAAAAAGUUUAAGAAUGUAGUUAAAAACAUUUUGAUUAAAAAGGCGUAUUAUAAAAUUCAGGAUUACAUUAAUGACAGUGAUGCCUGGCGUUAAAUUAAUAUUGUUUUUUCUUUUUCUCUGCACAUGUGGCUUCCCCGGCGACCACGGGCACGGGAGUGCCUCCGCCCAGACCAGCCAAGCCCAAGCCAGCAAGACCCCAAAUUGUAUUAUAUAAUGACUUGGUUACCCAAUAUAUUUUUUCUUUGAAUUGUAUAAAUUAUUUUUCCAGUAACGAUUGCACAAAAAUUAUCUUGUAUAAUUUAUUAAUACAUUUUUAGCUCAAUUUGGAUUGUAUAACAUUCUCAGGACUAGAUAGAAAACUGUAUGUUUGUAAUUAUUUUUAUUUUCUUUUAAAAAGAGUGUCCAUGGAGUUUCUUGCCGGUUCUUCUCCAUGAGACCAACUCUUUGGAACCGUGCACCUAACUUUGACGUUUCGAAAGAGCUUUCAUAGGCCUAUUUGAAAUAAAAAAAAUUGAGUUUGA
rnacentral:lncRNA from 1 species